UACGUAGGGUGCGAGCGUUGUCCGGAAUUAUUGGGCGUAAAGGGCUCGUAGGCGGUUUGUCGCGUCGGGAGUGAAAACUCAGGGCUUAACCCUGAGCCUGCUUCCGAUACGGGCAGACUAGAGGUAUGCAGGGGAGAAUGGGAUUCCUGGUGUAGCGGUGAAAUGCGCAGAUAUCAGGAGGAACACCGGUGGCGAAGGCGGGUCUCUGGGCAGUAACUGACGCUGAGGAGCGAAAGCGUGGGGAGCGAACAGG
rnacentral:rRNA from 1 species